rnacentral:rRNA from 1 species
GAUGAACGCUGGCGGCGUGCCUAAUACAUGCAAGUCGAGCGAACAGACGAGGAGCUUGCUCCUCUGACGUUAGCGGCGGACGGGUGAGUAACACGUGGAUAACCUACCUAUAAGACUGGGAUAACUUCGGGAAACCGGAGCUAAUACCGGAUAAUAUAUUGAACCGCAUGGUUCAAUAGUGAAAGACGGUUUUGCUGUCACUUAUAGAUGGAUCCGCGCCGCAUUAGCUAGUUGGAAAGUUAACGGCUUACCAAGGCAACGAUGCGUAGCCGACCUGAGAGGGUGAUCGGCCACACUGGAACGGAGACACGGUCCAGACUCCUACGGGAGGCAGCAGUAGGGAAUCUUCCGCAAUGGGCGAAAGCCUGACGGAGCAACGCCGCGUGAGUGAUGAAGGUCUUCGGAUCGUAAAACUCUGUUAUUAGGGAAGAACAAAUGUGUAAGUAACUAUGCACGUCUUGACGGUACCUAAUCAGAAAGCCACGGCUAACUACGUG